rnacentral:ribozyme from 1 species
AUUUCACGUGGUCUUGAUUUCACAACGACUGGAUUGUGGCGCAACUUUCGGUCGGCAUUGUCGAAUGCUGUACUAGAAGUAGUAGAAGUAGAAGUACCAUUAAUGUUGGCAAUGGU